rnacentral:rRNA from 1 species
UACGGGGGGAGCAAGCGUUGUUCGGAUUUACUGGGCGUAAAGGGCGCGUAGGCGGCCAGCGCAAGUCAGUUGUGAAAUCUCCGAGCUUAACUCGGAAAGGUCAACUGAUACUGCGCGGCUAGAGUGCAGAAGGGGCGACUGGAAUUCUCGGUGUAGCGGUGAAAUGCGUAGAUAUCGAGAGGAACACCUGCGGCGAAGGCGGGUUGCUGGGCUGACACUGACGCUGAUGCGCGAAAGCCAGGGGAGCGAACGGG